UACAGAGGUCUCAAGCGUUGUUCGGAUUCAUUGGGCGUAAAGGGUGCGUAGGCGGCGCGGUAAGUCGGGUGUGAAAUCGUUGGAGCUUAACUCCGAAACUGCAUUCGAUACUGCCGUGCUUGAGGACUGGAGAGGAGACUGGAAUUUACGGUGUAGCGGUGAAAUGCGUAGAUAUCGUAAGGAAGACCAGUGGCGAAGGCGGGUCUCUGGACAGUUCCU
rnacentral:rRNA from 1 species